rnacentral:rRNA from 1 species
CAACCUGCCGUCUACUCUUGGACAGCCUUCUGAAAGGAAGAUUAAUACAAGAUGGCAUCAUGAGUCCGCAUGUUCACAUGAUUAAAGGUAUUCCGGUAGACGAUGGGGAUGCGUUCCAUUAGACAGUAGGCGGGGUAACGGCCCACCUAGUCUUCGAUGGAUAGGGGUUCUGAGAGGAAGGUCCCCCACAUUGGAACUGAGACACGGUCCAAACUCCUACGGGAGGCAGCAGUGAGGAAUAUUGGUCAAUGGGCGCAGGCCUGAACCAGCCAAGUAGCGUGAAGGAUGACUGCCCUAUGGGUUGUAAACUUCUCUUAUAAAGGAAUAAAGUCGGGUAUGUAUACCCGUUUGCAUGUACUUUAUGAAUAAGGAUCGGCUAACUCCGUGCCAGCAGCCGCGGUAAUACGGAGGAUCCGAGCGUUACCCGGAUUUAUUGGGUUUAAAGGGAGCGUAGAUGGAUGUUUAAGUCAGUUGUGAAAGUUUGCGGCUCAACCGUAAAAUUGCAGUUGAUACUGGAUAUCUUGAGUGCAGUUGAGGCAGGCGGAAUUCGUGGUGUAGCGGUGAAAUGCUUAGAUAUCACGAAGAACUCCGAUUG